rnacentral:rRNA from 1 species
UACGUAGGGUGCAAGCGUUGUCCGGAUUUAUUGGGCUUAAAGGGUGCGUAGGCGACUAAUUAAGUCAGCGGUGAAAUUCCACAGCUCAACUGUGGAACUGCCAUUGAUACUGGUUGGCUUGAGUACAGAUGAGGUAGGCGGAAUUGACAGUGUAGCGGUGAAAUGCUUAGAUAUUGUCAAGAACACCGAUUGCGAAGGCAGCUUACUAAACUGUAACUGACGCUGAGGCACGAAAGCGUGGGGAUCAAACAGG